GCUUACGACCAUAUCAUGUUGAAAGCACCGGUUCUGGUCCGACCACCGAAGUUAAGCAACAUCGAGCCUAGUUAGUACUUAGAUGGGUGACCGCUUGGGAAAGCUAGGUGCUGUAAGCA
rnacentral:rRNA from 1 species